UUGCAUCACUGUUUAAACCAGUCAGACAUUCGUUCUUACGAGCACCAAAGAGGGUGAUGGAUGCAGGCAAGCAACCUAUUGGAGGUAAUGAUGUCACACCAAUCCUCCUUGCUCCCAGUGCAUAUAAACCCUAUCAAAGGGCAAGAAGUCAAGGUUGAGAAAGGCAUGCCUGGAUGAAGUUGGAAUAGCUUGUCAUGAGCAUGUCUGUGAAUUGUUCAGUUGAAUACACCAGGUUAAGCAGCGGAUUUAUGUAAUAGUUCUGAACAAAAUCACUGCUACCAGCACUAAUAAGAUAUAUAGCAUCAGAUAUAAUUGAUGAAGCCCUUGAUUGCCCUGCUGCUUCCACCAAUCUGUUCUGACACUCCUUGUAGUAUUCAAGCUGCCGGCCCAAAGGAAUUGCAUUCUACACCCGGGAAAACACACAUUAGCACUUACCAAUGGCACGAUGUUAAGAGUCUCUUUAGAUAAAUUUCUCCGAAAUACUCAUAGGAGUAAAAGUAGGAAGAAAAAUUGAAAUAAGUUUUUCCAUAAAUUAAAAUUAGCCUAUACAUAAAUUAAAAGAAGUUUUUGGAAAAGUUAAUAGCUUUAAAUUAGCUCAUGCAUAAGCUAAAAUAAGCUAAUUUUAGCUUAUGAAAAAGUUUUUUUCAGUUUUUCUUUCUGUUUUUUUUUUGUUUUUCUGUAAGUGUUUUUGGAGUAAUUUAUCCGGACGACCCUAAAUAAAGAAAAGAACAAUGGGUUUUUGAGUUUAAGAAAUUUAAAUGUAGUUACAUAUAGUUUUGAUGUGGAAUCAUAGUAACCAGAAGCAGCUGAGGCAAAGUUGGCACCAUUCAAGAGGUUUUUCCCUUUGGUCUUUAAGUUGAGGUAAGCUGGUGGAUAAGUGGUAAAUCCAAUGGUUUCAGCUGCAGUUAAUGAAACAAAGAUCAAAUCCAAGUUGAAAAACAUGAUGUUGGUAACAGGGAAUUAGUGAGAAGAUAUUUUGCUAAAUGAGAAUUUUGAGGAAAAAGAGAAGGUACCAGUGAAGUCUGUGGCAAGCUUUCCAUUGCAGAACCUUCCUGUUGGAUUGUGGUUCUCAAAGUCUCUUCCAUAAGGAGGGAAGUUUGCUUUAACAACAGUCAAUUGGUAGUUAUUAUUUCCCACAUCAACAACUGAGUCUCCAAAUAUGAACAAUGCAGGGACCAGAGGCUGUCCAUUAGUCACACUGAAGACCACAGCAAGAAGAAAAGAAGCCAAGAAAAACCUUGAACACCGCAUUCUUUUCAAUUCCUCUUCAGCAAUGAGCUUCUUCUUCGUUCAUGCAAAAAUACAGAGAAAUCAGACUCUGAGAUAGGUUACAGUUUUGGGAACUGAUAAUCGGACUUUUAAGUCUUUUGCUUUGAAUCUGGUGCAUACAGUGUAUAUGGUUUGGCAUGGCUGCAUUCCCUAGAAUUUUCAUUAAUGAUCCAACUUAGUGUAUAAUACAAGUCAAUAUAGAAAAUGUAUUCGUUCACAUUCUUACAACUUCAAAACAUCAUUUGAAUUCUUUGUUUGAGGAA